rnacentral:tRNA from 1 species
AUUUAAGUAGCUUAAGAAAGAGCGUGACACUGAAGAUGUUGGGGUAAUUGUUUAAAUUCUUAAAUA